AAAUUGUUGAAAGGGAAGCGCUUGUGACCAGACUUGUGCCGGGCGGCUCAUCAGGGGUUCUCCCCUGUGCACUCCGCCCGGCUCAGGCCAGCAUCGGUUCUCGCGGGGGGAUAAGAACAGUGGGAAUGUGGCCCCCUCUCGGGGGGGUGUUAUAACCCAUUGUACGAUACCCUCGUGGGGACCGAGGUUCGCGCUCCGCAAGGAUGCUGGCGUAAUGGUCAUCAGCGACCCGUCUUGAAACACGGACCAAGGAGUCGUCCAUUAGAGCGAGCGUUUGGGUGUAAAACCCGCACGCGUAAUGAAAGUGAACGCAGGUGAGAGCUUCGGCGCAUCAUCGACCGAUCCUGAUGUCUUCGGAUGGAUUUGAGUAAGAGUUUUAACGGACGGACCCGAAAGACAGUGAACUAUGCUUGUAUAGGGUGAAGCCAGAGGAAACUCUGGUGGAGGCUCGCAGCGGUUCUGACGUGCAAAUCGAU
rnacentral:rRNA from 2 species